rnacentral:lncRNA from 1 species
CCUGGGCUCUUUGCAGUACAUGUUAAUGACCCAGACCACAAACAGAGUAUCGUGGCCAAGCUGUUCUUGCACUGAAUUAUAAAAGAGACUUGAGGGUUUGUGCAAGCUGUUUGGCAAGACAAGGUUGGCUUGGAGUAGCAACUUCUGGAAAUAUCAGAAAUGAACUCAGAAGAGAAGAAGACUAGGCUGCCUGAAGAGAGCUGGUGGUUCCAGGGGAGGCCCAGCACACCUCAGGAUCAGCUGUGGAUGAGAAGAUAGAGGCAACAAAGGAUUCCCAU